AUUGAACGCUGGCGGCAGGCCUAACACAUGCAAGUCGAACGGUAACAGGAAGCAGCUUGCUGCUUUGCUGACGAGUGGCGGACGGGUGAGUAAUGUCUGGGAAACUGCCUGAUGGAGGGGGAUAACUACUGGAAACGGUAGCUAAUACCGCAUAACGUCGCAAGACCAAAGAGGGGGACCUUCGGGCCUCUUGCCAUCGGAUGUGCCCAGAUGGGAUUAGCUUGUUGGUGGGGUAACGGCUCACCAAGGCGACGAUCCCUAGCUGGUCUGAGAGGAUGACCAGCCACACUGGAACUGAGACACGGUCCAGACUCCUACGGGAGGCAGCAGUGGGGAAUAUUGCACAAUGGGCGCAAGCCUGAUGCAGCCAUGCCGCGUGUAUGAAGAAGGCCUUCGGGUUGUAAAGUACUUUCAGCGGGGAGGAAGUGAGUAAAGUUAAUACCUUUACUCAUUGACGUUACCCGCAGAAGAAGCACCGGCUAACUCCGUG
rnacentral:rRNA from 1 species